rnacentral:rRNA from 1 species
UACAGAGGGUGCGAGCGUUGUUCGGAAUUAUUGGGCGUAAAGGGCGCGUAGGCGGCGCCACAAGUCACCUGUGAAAACUCUGGGCUCAACCCAGAGCCUGCAGGCGAAACUGUGGUGCUGGAGUAUGGGAGAGGUGCGUGGAAUUCCCGGUGUAGCGGUGAAAUGCGCAGAUAUCGGGAGGAACGCCGGUGGCGAAGGCGGUUCUCUGGGCCUGUACUGACGCUGAGGAGCGAAAGCGUGGGGAGCGAACAGG